CCUGAAUUACCUUGCUAAUUGUCUUAUGACUUAAUACAGAUAGCUUUACUAGUGAUUAUGGCAUUCCCUAUGAUGCAGUCCUGCAGGCUGGGAGAAAGCAGAAAGCUCCCCAGCACACCUAACAAUCACUGUGGCAAGAGUGUGAAACAACUAAACAUUUAACCUAAAGUUGGUGUGGAUGGCGAAAAAAGACAAAAGGGAGAAUAACCCUCAAAUCACUAUCCAUGUGCCCACGUCUGAAAGUUGAACUUGGAUGAAAUGGGAGCAUCCAUCAAACUGCUCUCUGACAGAAGCAAAGGGCUGGAGUGAAUGUUUCAGAAUUUCUUCCUACUGGUGUAUUUGCAACUUUCAGGUAUAGACCGCAUGGUCACAGUUCAAGUCACAGUUCUGCAUUUGUGGUUUGGUCUUUGUACUUUAGCCUCUCAAGAAGGUAAAGAUUACUGUUGGUCUCCACAAAUUUUGCAGCAGAAAAUGCAGUACUGUAACCUGAAGUGUGCUAAAGAGUCUGUAUUAUUUCAGAGUAGCAAGCACAGCCAUUUGAAUACCGUUGAAGAGUUCUGCAGGGGAAGGCACUGGCACUCUCACUUUUAUCAUUUGCAACAGAAAGGCUGAAGCGGGAAACCUAGGAUAUAAAGAAUGCCAUGUGAACCAGAGACAUUAACCUUAUGACUGUUUGUCCCCGACACGUUGUCAUUAUACCCUGUUUUGUCCUUGAUAGAUGGAGAGAUAUAUAUGGGAAAAGCAGUAACAUGGAAGCAGCAUGCAAAAUUGUUUUACGCCUUUGGCUUAGAAGAUGGCCUCAGUGAGAUCAUUUGUGAAGUGCUGUGAAAGAAGUGGCAUUGUGGUGGCAAGGGCUCCACUUUGUGUUAUCUGUCUGCA
ensembl:lncRNA